rnacentral:rRNA from 1 species
GGCUUAACACAUGCAAGUCGAGGGGCAGCAUGGUCUUAGCUUGCUAAGGCCGAUGGCGACCGGCGCACGGGUGAGUAACACGUAUCCAACCUGCCGUCUACUCUUGGACAGCCUUCUGAAAGGAAGAUUAAUACAAGAUGGCAUCAUGAGUCCGCAUGUUCACAUGAUUAAAGGUAUUCCGGUAGACGAUGGGGAUGCGUUCCAUUAGAUAGUAGGCGGGGUAACGGCCCACCUAGUCUUCGAUGGAUAGGGGUUCUGAGAGGAAGGUCCCCCACAUUGGAACUGAGACACGGUCCAAACUCCUACGGGAGGCAGCAGUGAGGAAUAUUGGUCAAUGGGCGAGAGCCUGAACCAGCCAAGUAGCGUGAAGGAUGACUGCCCUAUGGGUUGUAAACUUCUUUUAUAAAGGAAUAAAGUCGGGUAUGGAUACCCGUUUGCAUGUACUUUAUGAAUAAGGAUCGGCUAACUCCGUGCCAGCAGCCGCGGUAAUACGGAGGAUCCGAGCGUUAUCCGGAUUUAUUGGGUUUAAAGGGAGCGUAGAUGGAUGUUUAAGUCAGUUGUGAAAGUUUGCGGCUCAACCGUAAAAUUGCAGUUGAUACUGGAUAUCUUGAGUGCAGUUGAGGCAGGCGGAAUUCGUGGUGUAGCGGUGAAAUGCUUAGAUAUCACGAAGAACUCCGAUUGCGAAGGCAGCCUGCUAAGCUGCAACUGACAUUGAGGCUCGAAAGUGUGGGUAUCAAACAGGAUUAGAUACCCUGGUAGUCCACACGGUAAACGAUGAAUACUCGCUGUUUGCGAUAUACAGCAAGCGGCCAAGCGAAAGCGUUAAGUAUUCCACCUGGGGAGUACGCCGGCAACGGUGAAACUCAAAGGAAUUGACGGGGGCCCGCACAAGCGGAGGAACAUGUGGUUUAAUUCGAUGAUACGCGAGGAACCUUACCCGGGCUUAAAUUGCAGAUGAAUUACGGUGAAAGCCGUAAGCCGCAAGGCAUCUGUGAAGGUGCUGCAUGGUUGUCGUCAGCUCGUGCCGUGAGGUGUCGGCUUAAGUGCCAUAACGAGCGCAACCCUUGUUGUCAGUUACUAACAGGUUCCGCUGAGGACUCUGACAAGACUGCCAUCGUAAGAUGUGAGGAAGGUGGGGAUGACGUCAAAUCAGCACGGCCCUUACGUCCGGGGCUACACACGUGUUACAAUGGGGGGUACAGAGGGCCGCUACCACGCGAGUGGAUGCCAAUCCCCAAAACCUCUCUCAGUUCGGACUGGAGUCUGCAACCCGACUCCACGAAGCUGGAUUCGCUAGUAAUCGCGCAUCAGCCACGGCGCGGUGAAUACGUUCCCGGGCCUUGUACACACCGCCCGUCAAGCCAUGGGAGCCGGGGGUACCUGAAGUGCGUAACCGCGAGGAGCGCCCUAGGGUAAAACUGGUGACUGGGGCU